AGGGGUAUAGCUCAGUUUGGUCAGAGCUCUUGGUUUGGGACCAAGAAGUCGCAGGUUCGAAUCCUGUUGCCCCUA
rnacentral:tRNA from 1 species